UACAGAGGGUGCGAGCGUUGUCCGGAAUCACUGGGCGUAAAGGGCGCGUAGGCGGUCUCUUAAGCGUGUGGUGAAAGCCCGGGGCUCAACUCCGGGUCGGCCGUGCGAACUGGGGGACUGGAGCUUGUCAGAGGCAGGCGGAAUUCCGGGUGUAGCGGUGGAAUGCGUAGAGAUCCGGAAGAACACCAGUGGCGAAGGCGGCUCACUGGCCCGUUACCGACGCUCAGGCGCGACAGCGUGGGGAGCAAACAGG
rnacentral:rRNA from 1 species